GGAUAAUCUACCCUUAGGACCGGGAUAACCCUGGGAAACUGGGGAUAAUACUGGAUAGGCAAUUAUUCCUGUAAUGGUUUUUUGUUUAAAUGUUUUUUCGCCUAAGGAUGAGUCUGCGGCCGAUUAGGUAGUUGGUUAGGUAAUGGCUUACCAAGCCGUUGAUCGGUACGGGUUGUGAGAGCAAGAGCCCGGAGAUGGAACCUGAGACAAGGUUCCAGGCCCUACGGGGUGCAGCAGGCGCGAAACCUCCGCAAUGUGAGAAAUCGCGACGGGGGGAUCCCAAGUGCCAUUCUUAACGGGAUGGCUUUUCAUUAGUGUAAAGAGCUUUUGGAAUAAGAGCUGGGCAAGACCGGUGCCAGCCGCCGCGGUAACACCGGCAGCUCUAGUGGUAACAAUUUUUAUUGGGCCUAAAGCGUCCGUAGCCGGUUUAAUAAGUCUCUGGUGAAAUCCUGCAGCUUAACUGUGGGAAUUGCUGGAGAUACUAUUAGACUUGAGACCGGGAGAGGUUAGAGGUACUCCCAGGGUAGAGGUGAAAUUCUGUAAUCCUGGGAGGACCGCCUGUUGCGAAGGCGUCUAACUGGAACGGUUCUGACGGUGAGGGACGAAAGUUAGGGGCGCGAACCGGAUUAGAUACCCGGGUAGUCCUAACUGUAAACGAUGCGGACUUGGUGUUGGGGUGGCUUUGAGCUGCUUCAGUGC
rnacentral:rRNA from 1 species